CAGCCGCCGCGGUAAUACAGAGGGUGCAAGCGUUAAUCGGAUUUACUGGGCGUAAAGCGUGCGUAGGUGGCUGUUUAAGUCGGAUGUGAAAGCCCUGGGCUUAACCUGGGAACUGCAUUCGAUACUGGAUAGCUAGAGAUCGGUAGAGGGCAGCGGAAUUCCGGGUGUAGCGGUGAAAUGCGUAGAUAUCCGGAGGAACACCGAUGGCGAAGGCAACUGCCUGGGCCUGAUCUGACACUGAGGCACGAAAGCGUGGGUAGCAAACAGGAUUAGAUACCCGCGUAGUCCCUGUCUCUUAUAC
rnacentral:rRNA from 1 species